AUCUAGCUGAAGAGUCCCAAAUAUAACGAAACACAUGUCUUAGAU
rfam:Schistosoma mattheei strain Denwood, Zambia genome assembly, scaffold: SMTD_scaffold0000898